GGUAACUUAACUUUAGCACAAUGUACGGGUUGUUUUACUUCGUAGAUGGGUCCGUUAUUACAGAUAGUACAUCUAUUAUACAGGAUGCAUAUAGAAAUGUAACGUUAGGUAUUAGUCACCUGCAAGGAAGACCUCCAGUCCAAGCAUGGCUGGAUAGAGGCGAUAUUACGGAAGCCGGUCGCAGCCAAACUCCUGUUCUUGGUGGAAAACUACAAAGAAGUGGUCGAGAAGCGUGUUGCUUUCCUCCAGGGGGAGGAUGUAUGGUCUUCCUUUGGAGAAGGGGAUGAUGAAGGAAGGAAUGAGCAACUCGGUGACCUCGAGAAACGGAGAUCUUUGUGAAAACUCGCUGGAUUUCCCCUUUAAAGUCUGCUGGUUUGUGUGGGAAUGUUCAAAAUCAUUCUCUUAAACAAGAUGUACAUUGUCAGUCUGGUACACAGAUGGCCAAGAUGGAUGAGGUGCUGAAGAGGGACCUCAAACGGCAACGUACAGCACAAGUCGAGUCUGAUUCCGACGAUACGUGUUGCGACAUGUUUGAUCAACCCAAAAAACGUAAACCGGUGGUUGUGACCAGUGACGAGGAGGACGCCAUCCCUCAGGUGGAGUCUCAGCGGCCUGCUGUUUUUGUUGAGAUGGACGAGGACACAUUAAGGGCUCUGAAAGGGCUGCCAGGACUGGUGUCUUCACUCAAAACCGUCCUAAACAAAUGGCAGAUUCACCUUCUUCCAUGAAUUCCAGCCAAAGCGACUCACCAUGCACUGGCAGUGACACUGGCAGUGAAGACAUGAUGUCAUUGAGCAACUCAUCAGUGCAAGUCCCAAAACGUCUCUAUCAGAGGCUGAGUGGGAGGAGGAUGUCCCUCUUUACACAGGAACUGGCCACAUUGGUGUUUGGAAGGGAAACUUUGGCCAAGGCAAUCCUCACAGGGAAAGGGAAAAAAGGCGAGCUGAAGGAGCAGCUUGAGCCAGAAAAAACCAACGCAAUUAUAGAUGCAGUGAGGGAGCGAUUCCCCAACACAGAGGUGACCGAGAUCCGGGCCCUUCUACGGAGGAAGUGCAACAAUGAGAGCUACAAGGCCUUAUCUCAUAAUCAGAGUUAGAUGUUGUUCGUUGAAGUUAAAGGCUGUUUGCUGGUGCUGUGCAAUAUCUGCUUUUGCAUUAGUGUAUCAUCUUUCUUGUGAGUGUGUUUGUGUUGUUUUCUCCUCUGUGUCAGUUCUAGUUCUUCUUCAGAUCGAUGGCACAGAAUGGUGAUGUGUAAUUAUGUUCCUGUUAUUGUGUUAUUACCAUUAUAUGUCCUUUGCUUGAAUUAUGUAUUUUAGUUUGAAGUGUAAUAAAGUUCCU